rnacentral:rRNA from 1 species
UUACAUCUUGUAGAUGACUUUCGCUAAGAAAGUCUUUUGGCACCUCUAAAAAGGGUGCAGAAUAAGGGGUGGGCAAGUCUGGUGUCAGCCGCCGCGGUAAUACCAGCACCCCGAGUGGUCGGGACGAUUAUUGGGCCUAAAGCAUCCGUAGCCGGUUCUGCAAGUCCCCCGUUAAAUCCAGCUGCUCAACAGAUGGGCCGCGGAGGAUACUACAGAGCUAGGAGGCAGGAGAGGCAAGCGGUACUCAGUGGGUAGGGGUAAAAUCCGUUGAUCCAUUGAAGACCACCAGUGGCGAAGGCGGCUUGCCAGAAUGCGCUCGACGGUGAGGGAUGAAAGCUGGGGGAGCAAACCGGAUUAGAUACCCGGGUAGUCCCAGCCGUAAACGAUGCAGACUCGGUGAUGGGUUGGCUUCGCGCUAACCCAGUGCCGCAGGGAAGCCGUUAAGUCUGCCGCCUGGGUAGUACGGUCGCAAGACUGAAACUUAAAGGAAUUGGCGGGGGAGCACCACAAGGGGUGAAGCCUGCGGUUCAAUUGGAGUCAACGCCGGGAAUCUUACCGGGGGCGACAGCAGAAUGAAGGUCAAGCUGAAGACUUUACCAGACAAGCUGAGAGGAGGUGCAUGGCCGUCGCCAGCUCGUGCCGUGAGGUGUCCUGUUAAGUCAGGUAACGAGCGAGACCCCUGCUUCUAGUUGCUACUCCUGUUCUCCGGAAUAGGAGGGCUAAUUAGAAGGACUGCCGCCGCUAAGGCGGAGGAAGGAGGGGGCUACGGCAGGUCAGUAUGCCCCGAAACCCUCGGGCCACACGCGGGCUGCAAUGGUAAGUACAAUGGGUACCAAUUCCGAAAGGAGGUGGCAAUCUCGCAAAACUUACCUCAGUUAUGAUUGAGGGCUGAAACUCGCCCUCAUGAAUAUGGAAUCCCUGUACC